GUGUAUCCUGGAAUAUUAGAGGACUAAACAAGUCCUACAAACGAAGAGAGUUAGUCAAAUUCCUGCGGACUAAUAGAGUUGAUAUAAUAGCUUGUCUAGAAACUAGAGUGAAACAGCAAAACUCAAUGGCAAUCUAUAAGAAGCUGGGAGGUGAGUGGACAAUAGAGAACAACUAUGCAUAUUCUCCAAAUGGAAGGAUAUGGAUAAUGUGGAAAGAAUUCAAUGUUCAGGUGGUACUUCUGGAAAGCACUGAUCAACUGAUCCAUUGUCAGGUGAAAGAUAAGAAUUCAAUUUUUGCUAUCACAUUUGUAUAUGCCCUACACACUAGCGAACACAGAGCACCACUAUGGAGGGAUUUGAGAGUUUUCCAACAUACUGGCCCUUGGCUUAUAAUGGGGGACUUUAAUAGUCUAUUAGGGGUCGAGGAUAGGAUAAAUGGCCAGCCAUUGCAUCCUUCAGAGAUAGAUGAAUUUUAGAGAUGUAUUGAUGAUACUGGAGUGGGGCAUCUUACCAAAGAAGGCAACAAAUUCUCAUGGAGUAACAAAAGGAAUGCUGAAGCCAGAGUCUAUAGCCAAAUAAACUGGGCCUUUGGUAAUGAUGCGUUGUUCAAUUCUUACACAGGGGUGGAAGCACUAUACAUGUUACCUGGAUGUUCAGAUCACACCCAUAUACUGAUAGACACUGAAAUAAUUAAAACUAAAGUGAAUAGACCAUACAGGCUACUACUAACAGUUAUGCAACAAAAAGAAUACAAGGAAGCAGUUCAAAGAGUGUGGAGUCAACAAGUCAAAUGAUACACUAUGUAUUCUAUUUGAAGCAAACUAAAGAAGAUUGAGCAGGAAACCAGAACCAUUCAUCAGGAGCACUCAUCUGUAGAUAAGAAGCUGUAACAGAUGAGAAAAGAUCUAAGGGUAUUCAAGGAAAACAGAAUGCAGAUUAUUUCGAUAAAACAGUGAUUGAAGAAGAAAAGAAACUGUUAGAGAAUAUUAAAAAGUGGGAAGUGAUUCAAGAACAAAUAAUGAGACAGAAGUCAGGAGCAAACUGGAUCCAAGUGGGUGAUAGCAAUACAAAGUACUUCCAUGCAUAUAUGAAUCUAGACAAGCCAGAAACAGGGUGAGCAGUAUUCUCAAUGACAACCAGAUGAGGAUUACUGAUCCACAGCAGAUCGAGCAAGAGUUCACUCAAUUCUUUCACCAGUUACUGGGCACAACAGCACAUUAGCUUCCUGGAAUAGACUUCACUGUGGCUAGAGAUGGGCCCUGCCUAUCAUUGCACCAACAACAUCAAUUGUUAACUUCAGUAACAAGGGAAGAGAUCAGUCAGAUAGUACAUCACCUUCCUAAUGAGAAGGCUCGUGGAAUAGAUGGUUACCCUGCAGAAUUCUUUAAAAAGUUUUGGCCAACUGUGGGAGAGGAGGUUAUAGAGGCAGUGCAGCAAUUCUUUCAAACUGAAAAAUUAUUGAAAGAGAUUAACUGCACAACUGUAACAUUGAUGCCGAAAGUGAAAAAUCCCAACUAUGUCAAAGAAUUUCGAUUUCAAACUGGAAAAUUAUUGAAAGAGAUUGACUGCACAAUUGUUACAUUGAUUCCGAAAGCGAAAAAUCCCAACUACGUCAAGGAAUUUAGACCCAUCGCUUGCUGCUCAACACUGUACAAAGUUAUUGCAAAGAUCCUUACAAACAGACUCAAACUAGUUAUGGAUUAUUUGGUGGGCAUGCACAAUCAGCUUUCAU
rnacentral:lncRNA from 1 species